rnacentral:rRNA from 1 species
UCCGUAGGUGGAUAAUUAAGUCAGAGGUGAAAGUUUGCAGCUCAACUGUAAAAUUGCCUUUGAUACUGGUUAUCUUGAAUUAUUGUGAAGUGGUUAGAAUAUGUAGUGUAGCGGUGAAAUGCAUAGAUAUUACAUAGAAUACCAAUUGCGAAGGCAGAUCACUAACAAUAUAUUGACACUGAUGGACGAAAGCGUGGGGAGCGAACAGGAUUAGAUACCCUGGUAGUCC